CCUACGGGAGGCUGCAGUGAGGAAUAUUGGUCAAUGGGCGCGAGCCUGAACCAGCCACGUCGCGUGAAGGAUGACGGCCUUAUGGGUUGUAAACUUCUUUUACAGGGGAAUAAAGUGAGUCACGUGUGAUUUUUUGCAUGUACCCUGUGAAUAAGCAUCGGCUAACUCCGUGCCAGCAGCCGCGGUAAUACGGAGGAUGCGAGCGUUAUCCGGAUUUAUUGGGUUUAAAGGGUGCGUAGGCGGGAUAUUAAGUCAGCGGUGAAAGUUUUCGGCUCAACCUUAAAAUUGCCGUUGAAACUGUUAUUCUUGAGUGCAGUAGAGGUAGGCGGAAUUCGUUGUGUAGCGGUGAAAUGCGUAGAUAUAACGAGGAACUCCGAUUGCGUAGGCAGCUUACUAUAUUGCUACUGACGCUGAGGCACGAAAGUGUGGGUAUCAAACAGGAUUAGAUACCCCAGUAGUC
rnacentral:rRNA from 1 species